ensembl:snRNA U6 U6 spliceosomal RNA
GUGCUCGCUUCAGCAGCACAUAUGCUAAAAUUGGAAUGAUACAGUGAAGAUUAGUAUGGCCCCUUGCAAGGAUGACACGCAAAUUUGUGAAGCGUUCCAUAUUUUU